rnacentral:lncRNA from 1 species
GGGCUGCACCCACGGAUAUGGAAGUUUCCAGGCUAUGGGUUGAAUGGGAGCUGUAGCUGCCGGCCUACACCACAACCACAGCAGCAAGAGAUCUGAGCCACAUCUGUGACCUUCACCACAGAUCAUCAAAUUCUUAACCCACUGAGCGAGGCCAGGGAUCGAACCCACAACCUCAUGGAUACUAGUCGGAUUCAUUUCCACUGCACCACAACAGGGACUCAUGUGUUUUCUAUAAUUACUAUAAAGACUCUUAAAAUUUAAGAGAUCAAAACAAUGCCAAGUCCCAGGUCAGAAAAUAUUCUUUUUUUUCCUUCUCAAAUAUGCUUAUUUGAUCAUCCUCAACUUUAUACCAAGAUUAUCUGACUAAGAGCUGACUCCCUAAUUCAAAAUUCUAGAUGGAGUGGUUACUUCUUUCUAAACUUAAAAUUAACCAAAGAAAUGAAAAAAGGAAACCACAUAAAACUUUUCUAUGUACAAAAAAAGAACUAAAAUUAAAAGGAAAAAAAAGCCAACAAAGUAAAGGAAAUACACCAAUGGCAACACUACAGAAAUGAUCCUAAACCUGAAGCUAGUACAACCAACUACAGAGGCUAAAUCUGGCCAGCACAAGCACAUGCUCAAGAAAACAAAAUAACUACUAAAAUGUUCAGAACAUUAUAGUAUCUCCAAACUAUAAACGCAAAUAUUCAUCAACAGCAGAAUGGAUAGACAAACUACCACUGCACACAAUGGAAUAAAGUGAACAAUGUGGAUGAAUGGCACAAACUUAAAGUUAAGCCAAAGAAGCCAGUCACAGAAUACAUACUCUAUGAGUCCCUUUAUGAACACACAAAAACAGCCAAAGCUAAUCUAUGUUUUUGUUUUGUUUCGUUUUUUGUCUUUUUAGGCCCACAUCCGCAGCAUCUGGAGGUUCCCAGGCUAGGGGUCCAAUUGGAGCUGUAGCCACCGGCCUAUAACACAGCCACAGCAACACAGGAUCUGAGCCACAUCUGCGACCUACACCACAGCUCACAGCAACGCUGGAUCCUUAACCCACUGACUGAGGCCAAGGAUAGAACCUGUGUCCUAAUGGAUGCUGGUCAGAUUUGUUUCCUUUGAGCCACAACGUGAACUCCAAAAAACUCAUCUAUGUUGUUAAAAAGUCAGAGAUGGGUUACCCUUUGGGAAGACACUGUAGGUUAACAGGGCAUGAGGGGAGCUGGCUUCUGUUUCUUGAUCUGGGUGCUGGUUACAUAGGCCUACUGAGUUAAUGAAAACUGAGUUACCAUUUAUGACAGGUAUACUUCCGCACCUGUUACACAUCAAUAAAAAUUUCCAGUUGGAAAAAGAUAAUUCUCGGUGGAAAACAAGCACAUGAAAAGGUCAUUAGGGAAACGCAAAUCAAAAUCACAAUGAGAUUCCACUUCACUCACACUCGCUAAGAUGGCCAUAAUAAAAAGCAGAAAUAUCAAGUGCUGGCAGAGGAUGUGGGGAAAUUGGAACCUUCACACACUGUUGGUGGGAAUGUAAAAUGGUACAGCUGCGGAAACCAGUUUGGGGGUCCUCCGUCGGUUAAACAUAGAAUUACCACGUAGCCCAGCAAUUCCACUCCUAGGUAUAGGCCCCAAGAAGCUGAAAAUGGGUACUCAAAUCCUUGCACAUAAAUCUACCUACUGACAAUAGCCACAAGGUAGAAAUAACCCAAAUGUCUAUUUACAGAUGACUGGACAUUCAAAAUGUGGUAUAUCCAAAAACAUAUCAAACAAUGGAAUAAAAGGGAAUAAAGCUAGUAAGAGCAUUCCUGCCGUGGCUCAGUGGAAACGAAUUUGACUAGCAUCCAUGAGGACGCAGGUUCGAUCCUUGGCCUUGCUCAGUGGGUUAAGGAUCCGGUGUUGCUGUGGCUGCGGUGUAGGGUGCAGACAUGGCCCGGAUCUAGCGUUGCUGUGGCUGUGACGUAGGCCAGCAGCUACAGAUCUAAUUCGACCCCUAGCCUGGGAAGUUCCAUAUGCUGCUAGUGCUGCCCUAAAAAAAAAAAAGACAAAAAUAAUAAUGAUAAUGAUAAUAAAUAAAAAUAAAAGAAGCCCGGAGUUCCCGUCAUGGCUCAGUGGUUAACGAAUCCAACUAGGAACCAUGAGGUUGUGGGGUUCGAUCCCUGGCCUUGCUCACUGGGUUAAGGAUCUGGCGUUGCCAUGAGCUGUGGUGUAGGUUACAGACGCGGCUUGGAUCCCAAGUUGCUGUGGCUGUGGCAUAGGCUGGCGGCUACAGCUCCAAAUGGACCCCUAGCCUGGGAACCUCCAUAUGCCAUGGGAGCGGCCCUAGAAAAGGCAAAAAGACAAAAAAAUAAAAGAAGCCAGACACAAAAGGCCACAUAGUCUAUGAUUUCAUUUAUAUGUAAUGCCCAGAAUAAGAACAUUUAUAGAGACAGAAAGUAUAUUAGUGGUUGUCAGGGGUGGGAAGUGGGGAGUGACUGCUCAAUCUCAGUGGGUACUGGGCUUCCACUUGGGGAGAUAAAAAAGUUCUAGAACUAAAAAGCGGUAAUAGUUGUGCAACGUGGUGCAUGUGCUUAAUGCCAAUAAAUCUGUGACUUUAAAAUAGUUAUCAUCGUAAGUUUACUGUUAUAUAUACUUAAUUACAAUUUUAAUUUUUUUUUCAAAAAAAAAAAAAAAAGAUAAUGAGGCAAGCCAGGAUGUAGUUAAGAAUUCUCAAUCCACCAGUAAUUGCACAGUAUUGUAGCAAUAAGUAAUUCAUAUCUUGGCCCCAGUUCAUAAUUCUACUUCUGAGAACCAAUGUAAGAAAAAAAAAGCUUUCAAUCCAAAAGAGGGAGGAAGAAAGGAAGGCAGGGAGGGAGAGAAGAAAAGCAAUCUGAGCAUCAAAUUAUCAGGGAAUGGAAAAAUCAAGAUACAUUUACAAAAUUAAUUAUAUGAAAAAACUCCAAACGUUUAUGAAAAGCAUUCAUUGUGAAAUAGGGGGAAGGCUUAUAUUAUGAAGCAAAUGUGAUAAAAGCAGAAAAGAAAUUCUAUAAACACAAGCCAAACUGUACAUCAAAACAAGACUCAAAGGAGGUUUACAAUGGGUUUGCUAUGGUGACGGUAUUUUCUUUCUGUUUUCUGCCCCGUGAAACCAAGCAAGCUCAUUCUUAUCUCAAGGCCUCUGGACCUAAUGUACCUUCCAUCUGGAACGCUCCUCAGCGCUCCAGGACUGCCUCCCUCAUCUUUCGCGUCAACUCAAACUUCAGCCCCUAAGAAAGACCGUCCCUCCUCCCUCCGCCUUUCCCCACCACACAUUCUUUGCUGCUUUGCACUUAUUACAACCUGAGAAUAACUGGACUACUGAUUUACUGGUACACUCAUCUUUUUCCCCCAUCCCCUAUUGGAAUGUGAGGCCCCUGAGUACAACCUUACGGGGGCUCCCUUGUAUGUUAUUGCUGCUUUUAAUUUCCCUUUGUAUUAACUGCUGUCAGUGUGAUUAGCAGCGUCUCGGCUGCUUCCCCUUGGGUUUAUCCUGUACAGAACUCUACGUGCUUCCUGAGCCUGCUGACUACUUCCUUUCCC